rnacentral:rRNA from 1 species
UACGGAGGGUGCAAGCGUUGUCCGGAUUUAUUGGGUUUAAAGGGUGCGUAGGCGGCCCCGGUAAGUCAGUGGUGAAAGCCUCCAGCUCAACUGGAGAACUGCCAUUGAUACUGCCGGGCUUGAGUACAGACGAGGUUGGCAGAAUUGAUUGUGUAGCGGUGAAAUGCAUAGAUACAAUCAAGAACUCCGAUUGCGUAGGCAGCUAACUAGGCUGUAACUGACGCUGAGGCACGAAAGCGUGGGGAGCGAACAGG